rnacentral:misc_RNA from 1 species
AAGUCGUAACAAGGUAUCUGUAGGUGAACCUGCAGAUGGAUCAUUACUGUAUAAUGUGAUGCGUUGGAGGAUCAUUUUGUGUUGUUUUACACACGCUUUAUGCAUUCGAAGACCAUCAUUAUUAAACCCUGUUAACGCGGAUGCCCAAUCUGUAAUCAUUACGGAGCGGGUGUUUUAUUUUAAACCUUUAACAAAAUAUAAACCUAUCACAACAUAUAACACAAAACUUAUAUAACCUUUAACAAUGGAUCUCUUGGUUCCU